AUUGAACGCUGGCGGCAGGCUUAACACAUGCAAGUCGAACGAGUGGCGGACGGGUGAGUAAUGCAUGGGAAACUGCCUUAUGGAGGGGGAUAACUACGGGAAACUGUAGCUAAUACCGCGUACCAUAGGAUGAGCCCAGUUGGGCUUAGGUAGUGGGGGGGGUAAAGGGUCACCCAGGCGACGAUCCCUAGCGGGUCUGAGAGGAUGACCAGCCACACGGGGACGGCGACACGGUCCAGACUCCUACGGGAGGCAGCAGUGGGGAAUAUUGCACAAUGGGGGCAAGCCUGACGCAGCCAUGCCGCGUGAAUGAAGAAGGCCUUCGGGUUGUAAAGUGCUUUCGGCAGGGAGGCGUUACCUACAGAAGAAGCACCGGCUAACUCCGGGCCAGCAGCCGCGGUAAUAC
rnacentral:rRNA from 1 species